AGAGCUUGCUUUAAAGAAGUUAGCGGCGGACGGGUGAGUAACACGUGGGCAACCUGCCUGUAAGACUGGGAUAACUUCGGGAAACCGGAGCUAAUACCGGAUAAUAUAUAGUACCUCCUGGUACUAUAUUGAAAGUUGGUUUCGGCUAACACUUACAGAUGGGCCCGCGGCGCAUUAGCUAGUUGGUGAGGUAACGGCUCACCAAGGCAACGAUGCGUAGCCGACCUGAGAGGGUGAUCGGCCACACUGGGACUGAGACACGGCCCAGACUCCUACGGGAGGCAGCAGUAGGGAAUCUUCCACAAUGGACGAAAGUCUGAUGGAGCAACGCCGCGUGAGCGAUGAAGGCCUUCGGGUCGUAAAGCUCUGUUGUUAGGGAAGAACAAGUGCGAGAGUAACUGCUCGCACCUUGACGGUACCUAACCAGAAAGCCACGGCUAACUACGUGCCAGCAGCCGCGGUAAUACGUANGUGGCAAGCGUUGUCCGGAAUUAUUGGGCGUAAAGCGCGCGCANGCGGUUUCUUAAGUCUGAUGUGAAAGCCCACGGCUCAACCGUGGANGGUCAUUGGAAACUGGGAGAC
rnacentral:rRNA from 1 species